GGCGUGAGCGGCGACGGAAGGCCAUGUCCCGGAGACUGGCUGGGUUUCUGAGGGGGGCUUGCACUCUGCUGAGUUGGAGACGGAUUCUGCCAAAUGUAUGAAAAUCAGAGCUGGCAAGGUCCUUGGAACUCAUUGCACCCAACCUCACCCUUGAGAAAUAAGGAAAAUGAGACCCAGAGACCUCAUAUGACUGGCCCAAGUGCACACAGAGGAAAAGGAAAGACCAGGCAACCAGCUGUCCACUGGAAGUGCUGCAAUUCAAUGGGCAGUCCGUAGGAACAGGUGAAGCAACCGGCCACCUGCAGUCAGGAGUAUAGUUCCAGUCCCCAGAUGUCAACAUCUGCAAAGCACCAUUACUACAAUGGAACCACAUGUGCAUCACAGAAUCUCAGAGCAGGAGAAGACCUUGGGGGCUCUCUCUAAAGGAACUGGACUGAACUCCUCUACAUGGUGAGAAUUUCUUGCCUAGGGUCCCUUUCAGGAAACAUCCAACCUCUGUUUUAACAGUCUUCCUUGGCAGGGAGGCCAAUUCUAUUAUCAGCUCUGACUGCAAGAUGAUUGUCUUGGAAAACUGAAAAACUACCUCUCUGUAAAUGUCCAAACUAUUUUCACAACAAUCCAAAAGAAGCAGUACAAGACUUCUUGGAUGUUCUUUCUAAUUCAUUUAGGUUCAAUUAACACAAAGGCUCAGUAUUCAGGGGGUCCUAACAAGACGUGGGUUUCAGACUCCUCAGACUCAUCAACUUCUGGGUUCACUCUGGUUUCAAAAUUGUAAGGAGAUUGAUGGGAAGGGAUGGAGUUUCAGUCCAGGGGAUUUAUUCCUUUAUUUGGUAAAUAUUUGUAUGCCUACUAUGCUUCAGGACUGUUAAAGGAAUAAAGAGAUAGAUAGAAAUUUGUGUCCUUAGGGAACUUUGUUCUAGUAGGGGAAAAGAGAUAGGAAAGUCUGUGAGGUGGUGAUAAUAGCUAAGGAGAAAAAUCAAGCAGAGAGGAGAAAAAGAGGGUAUCUGUGGGUACUGAAAUUUUAGAUAGGAUAACAAGGGGGGCACAAGACAGGUGAGAGAAUAAGACAUUCCAACAUGGAGUGAAAACCCUCUAGGAAGAGGACACAGUGCAAGGCCGGUGGUGUGGCUGAUGCGUUUAGGGAUCAGCCAGGAAGUGAGUGAGUCUGGAGUACAUGGGGCAAGAAGGAAGGGAGUGGGGAAUGGAGUUAGAAACAUUAGAGUAAACAGGAGGUGUGGGAUCUCGUAAGCCAUUGUAAGAACUUUGGUUUUUACUAUGAGCCAGGUGGGUCUCUAUCCAUCUCCUUGCUGAGUUGGUAUUCAGUAGAGCCAUGUUCCUUGGGUUCUUACACAGUAGUGAUUUUAUUGCUGGGGGAUUGCUUGGCUUGGGAUAAAAUGUUUAGGCCAUUUUUCUCUCAAAGGUUUAUUGACUUGACCCCAUCAUCUUCUGAAAUAUUAGAAGUUGGAGACCAACUUACUAGUUACCCUUUCUAGAUAAGUUCCUUUUGAUGCUUAUGUGUUUGAAUAAUUAACCUUUAAGUUCAGUAAUAGUAUCGAAAAUAUGUCUUAUAGCAAAUAUUCUGCAUUAAUUCACUUCCCCCAAAUGUAUUUUUCAUGCUGAUUCAGUCCUUCAUUCAUGUCCAGAUAUUUUUUCUAUUACAUCUUUCAUUUUCUUUGGAAAAUCAAUUAUAUUAUGUUGGAUCAUCAUUGUCUAUUCUCCAUAUCUUUUUUCCCUUCUGGUCGAUUUAAUCUAUGACUCUUUUAUUUUCACCACAUAAAGGUACACUGUAUUCUGU